rnacentral:rRNA from 1 species
AAAGCUCAAAUUUAAAAUCUGGCGGUCUUUGGCUGUCCGAGUUGUAAUCUAGAGAAGUGUUACCCGCGUUGGACCGUGUACAAGUCUCCUGGAAUGGAGCGUCAUAGAGGGUGAGAAUCCCGUCUUUGACACGGACUGCCAAGGCUUUGUGGUGCGCUCUCAAAGAGUCGAGUUGUUUGGGAAUGCAGCUCAAAAUGGGUGGUAAAUGCCAUCUAAGGCUAAAUAUGGGUGAGAGACCGAUAGCGAA